rnacentral:lncRNA from 1 species
UUACUGUCAGGCGGUUCUGACACCGAUGCUGCAUCCAAACGCAGGGUCUGAGCGGGGAUUCGGGCCAGACAGCUGCUCAUGGCGACAAAGCAAGUAAAUCUCCAAACUGCGUUUUCCCUGUUUUUGUAUGAGGCUGUGUUACAUGUAGCUUUUCUUCUUUUUGUAGCUGCAGCUCUGAACGACAGCGAACCCAUGUCGUGUCCACCGUAUGCCAGCGAGGACUAAACUCACAGUGCGAUGAUCGUGUGCACAAGGAGCUGUCAGCGUCACUCCAUCUCCUCUUCCCCCCAUCGCUCCUGCUGCAAUCCUUUUCUCCGCACCACGGGAUUCCCACUACUUCCCUCUCCAAUCUUGUUUCAUGGCAAGUGGCUCUCAAUGAGGGACCGGUGGAGGAGGUGAACGAGGCAAGCGCGUUUAGGGUCGAGAGGAGGAGUCACUCCCUCAUAAUGGAGAAUAUUUGCAUCACUGAAGGAGGAAAUAUGUGAAUACUCCACUUUUCGUGAUCAUGUGUCAGAUUAGAUAAAUGUGAAACCUCAGAGGUUGAGAGAAAAUGCCCCCCUCACAUGUGUAGUUGGUUUAGGGAAGCAUUUAGUUUGUUCUGAGACUCAUUUUAUGCCACAUUGCACUAGAUAAUAUUGCCAUAAUCUUAUAUGUAAACCCACUCAAAGCACAAGGUCACUGAUGAGCAGCUUUGACCAUGUGGACAUGAUAGAGGUGAUUUGUUCGGUAAGUGGGCACAUUAGCAUAAAAAGACAGUGAUCAUCUAAAAUGCAAUGCAGCAGUCACUGUAUGUAUCCUGGAUGGUUUGACAGCCACGGGGGACUUUUAGCUCAGGUCACCGUGCUCCCACAAACCUCAGCCCAUGUGUGUUAGUGCUUAUCAGCCCACUACAACCCAUGACCCUUCACCACGGAGGAAAGGAAUGUAUGGAAAGAGCCUUCCACCGCCACCCACGUGCAAGCGUGUCCAACAGAUUCAUCUGUUAUGUGGCUAAAAGUGGAAACAUACAGGAAACAUUUCCUUUGUUUUAAAUAACAAAACUUAUCUUGUCACGGGCGACGGAAUGAAAACAGUCGGCAAAAUGGCAGAUUCAUCAACUUCAAAUAAAAUGUGAAACAAAAGAGAAGGGGACUGCA